CGGGCCCUACGGGGCGCAGCAGUGGGGAAUCUUGCACAAUGGGCGAAAGCCUGAUGCAGCAACGCCGCGUGAGCGAAGAAGGCCCUUGGGUCGUAAAGCUGUGUCCUAAGGGAAGAAGGAACUGACGGUACCUUAGGAGGAAGCCCCGGCUAACUACGUGCCAGCAGCCGCGGUAAUACGUAGGGGGCAAGCGUUAUCCGGAAUUAUUGGGCGUAAAGAGUACGUAGGCGGUUUUUUAAGCGUAGGGUCUAAGGCGAUGGCUUAACCAUCGUUCGCCCUGUGAACUGGAGGACUUGA
rnacentral:rRNA from 1 species